rnacentral:tRNA from 1 species
GCCUGGAUGGCUCAGUUGGUUGAGCAUCUGACUUCAGCUCAGGUCACAAUCUCACGUUCGUGGGUUCCAGCCCCACAUCGGGCU